UACGUAGGGACCAAGCGUUGUUCGGAUUUACUGGGCGUAAAGGGCGCGUAGGCGGUCAGCACAAGUCAGUUGUGAAAUCUCCGGGCUUAACCCGGAAAGGUCAACUGAUACUGUGCGACUAGAGUGCGGAAGGGGCAACUGGAAUUCUCGGUGUAGCGGUGAAGUGCGUAGAUAUCGAGAGGAACACCUGCGGCGAAGGCGGGUUGCUGGGCCGACACUGACGCUGAUGCGCGAAAGCCAGGGGAGCGAACGGG
rnacentral:rRNA from 1 species